UGUCGACAGAUGUUGAUUCAAUACGCAUCAACAAAGUUCGUAUCCAACACACUUACGACUGACAAAAUAAGAAUAUUCUGCAUAAUCAGUUAUGUAUCUUUUAAUUUUGUUUUGCGUAUUAACUUUUAGUGCCAUUGUACAUAAUGAAAAUGUUAAGAGGGAAUCUUCUGGAAAUAGUUUGCUGUGGAUAAUUGCCAAACAAUUAGACCGACUAGAAAGCAAACUCCAGGACAUGCAGAAACAAUACAACAGCAGGGAUGCGGAAAUGGAAACGAUGAAGAAAAAAAUACAGUGACAAAGUAAAGGGCGCCAUGACAUCAGACCAGCCUUCAGUGCUCACUUCAAAAGCAGUGGCUUUAAAUUCUUAAGAAGAGGCCAGAUAUUAAUAUUUGACAAGGUCCAAUUCAACGUCGGAGGAGGGUACAACCCAUGGACAGGGUAUUUUACAGUUCCAAGACCCGGGCUAUACAUUGUAUCAUGCAAAGUAAGAUCCUAUAGUAACAAAAAUCUACACGUUUGGCUUAAGAAGAACAAUCACCGGGUCACGUUGGGAUAUGGAAACAACUAUAAUGAAGGCAGCUUCAGCAUCCCUGUACAGGUAGCAAAAGGAGAUAAACUUGUCAUAGAACAUGGUACAGGCUCUUAUGUUGUGGGCGAAUCUGUACAGGGUACUAUUGUUUCAUUCUUCUCAGCCGUGUUUAUAUCGGACUAGCAACAAACAAAUAUCUCUAUGAAUUUACAAAAUUGAUCAAAAGAAAGAUUUUCUGUCAACUAAGCCUUCAAGUUUAAACAACAAUAAAAAACAUACAUGAA